rnacentral:rRNA from 1 species
AGAACGAACGCUGGCGGCAUGCCUAAUACAUGCAAGUCGAACGAACACUUCGGUGUUAGUGGCGCACGGGUGCGUAACGCGUGGGAAUCUGCCCUUGGGUUCGGAAUAACAGUUGGAAACGACUGCUAAUACCGGAUGAUAUCGAAAGAUCAAAGAUUUAUCGCCCAGGGAUGAGCCCGCGUAGGAUUAGCUAGUUGGUGAGGUAAAGGCUCACCAAGGCGACGAUCCUUAGC